GAUGAACGCUAGCGGCAGGCCUAACACAUGCGAGUCGAGGGGUAGAAGGAGCUUGCUCCUUUGAGACCGGCGCACGGGUGCGUAACGCGUAUGCAAUCUACCUUGUACAGGGGAAUAGCCCAGAGAAAUUUGGAUUAAUGCCCCAUAGUAUAUAACCUUCGCAUGUUGGUUAUAUUAAAGUUCCAACGGUACAAGAUGAGCAUGCGUCCCAUUAGUUAGUUGGUAAGGUAACGGCUUACCAAGACGAUGAUGGGUAGGGGUCCUGAGAGGGAGAUCCCCCACACUGGUACUGAGACACGGACCAGACUCCUACGGGAGGCAGCAGUGAGGAAUAUUGGUCAAUGGUCGCAAGACUGAACCAGCCAUGCCGCGUGCAGGAAGACGGUCCUAUGGAUUGUAAACUGCCUUUAUACAGGAAGAAACCCUCCCACGUGUGGGAGCUUGACGGUACUGUAGGAAUAAGGAUCGGCUAACUCCGUG
rnacentral:rRNA from 1 species